AAGCUCCUGAAGGUGUCCCCAGCACAGUCCUAAUAUUUGUUGAAUUAAAAUUUGAGUCGUAGAGGAGGAAAAGUAAUAGCGAAGCUGGCCUCACAGUGCUUACAGUCUGUGGGCUAGUUUCAAACAAGG
rnacentral:snoRNA from 1 species